UACGUAGGGUGCAAGCGUUGUCCGGAAUCAUUGGGCGUAAAGCGCGCGUAGGUGGCUUCGUAAGUCCGUUGUGAAAGUCAAAGGCUCAACCUUUGAAAGCCGAUGGAUACUGCGGAGCUAGAGUACGGAAGAGGCGAGUGGAAUUCCUGGUGUAGCGGUGGAAUGCGCAGAUAUCAGGAGGAACACCAAUAGCGAAGGCAGCUCGCUGGGACGUUACUGACGCUGAGGAGCGAAAGCGUGGGGAGCAAACAGG
rnacentral:rRNA from 1 species